rnacentral:lncRNA from 1 species
UUUUCUCUCUUUUUUCCUUUUUUCUUUUUCUACUUUCAUUAUUUUAUUCGUGACCUUGGCGUUAAUUGUCCAUGAUAGACUUUUACAAGAGGUAAUACAAAAAUCAAUGUCCGUCGGUUGACUUGCUAAAAUCCUUGUGUCCGUAUAUUUGCUAAUUUAGGCCUAUUAUGGGUCGGUUUGUCUGCUAAUGUACGCCGUGGGUCCCUU